UCGUAACAAGGUCUUCCGUUGGUGAACCAGCGGAGGGAUCAUU
rnacentral:rRNA from 1 species